rnacentral:rRNA from 1 species
GGAUUAGAUACCCUGGUAGUCCUGGCCCUAAACGGUGCACGUUUGCUGUAAGAGGAAUCGACCCCUUUUGUGGCGAAGCUAACGCGUUAAACGUGCCGCCUGGGAAGUACGGCCGCAAGGUUAAAACUCAAAGAAAUUGACGGGGGCCUGCACAAGCGGUGGAGUAUGUGGCUUAAUUCGAUGCAACGCGAAGAACCUUACCUGGCCUUGACAUGCACAUAGUAGAAACCUGAAAGGGUGACGAGGUAGCAAUACCAGUGUGCACAGGUGCUGCAUGGCUGUCGUCAGCUCGUGCCG